GAUAGAACCAGUAUAGAUCUAGACCACCUAGAGAGAACCACCUCAUGUUAGUGUAGAUAGAACCAGUAUAGAUCUAGACCACCUAGAGAGAACCACCUCAUGUUAGUGUAGAUAGAACCAGUAUAGAUCUAGACCACCUAGAGAGAACCACCUCAUGUUAGUGUAGAUAGAACCAGUAUAGAUCUAGACCACCUAGAGAGGAACCACCUCAUGUUAGUGUAGAUAGAACCAGUAUAGAUCUAGACCACCUAGAGAGAACCACCUCAUGUUAGUAUAGAUUGAACCAGUAUAGAUCUAGACCACCUAGAGAGGAACCAUCUCAUGUUAGUGUAGAUUGAACCAGUAUAGAUCUAGACCACCUAGAGAGAAACCACCUCAUGUUAGUGUAGAUAGAACCAGUAUAGAUCUACACAACCUAGAGAGAAACCACCUCAUGUUAGUGUAGAUAUAACCAGUAUAGAUCUAGACCACCUAGAGAGAAACCACCAGGUGUCCCAAAGUCUUAAAGAAACAAACCAACCAAUCAACUGACUGAGACCAUUUUACUAACUAGUCAGUUAUAGAAGCUAGGAGGGGUUUGAUGAUAAUGAAGACAGUGAGGUUUCAGAUUGUGUUGUAGGAGCAUUAUAGGUUGGUUGCUGUAACGUUGCAGGGUGGUUGUAGGAGGGUUUGGUCUGCGAGAGACUGUAAACGUCCUGAUCCUUUACAUUAUCAGGGUUAGAGGUCAGGCUAACACAACGUCCUUAACUCAUCCUUUUCAGGGUCAGGGGUUAAAGGUCAGGGAUUGAGCACAAUAAUCAGAAUAUUAAAUAUUUUUGUGUCUAAGGAGAUCAAAUGUUAAUUUGACUGAUUUAAAAAAUGCAGUGUCUUCAAACCCUUCUGACAGACAACACAGAAAGAUGUUUACCAACACACAAUUAUUACACACACUGGUUUAUACACUGAUUACAUGUAUUAAUGGUUUAUAAACUGUAUUAAUGGUUUAUAGCACACUAUAAUGGUUCAUAAACACUCUACGGCGGUAAGAACGCGUAAUACUCAUUUUUACUAUUGCACUCUAUUACAACCUACCAACUCUGAAAGAAAGAGAAAACCAAACCAACUGUAGACGUGAUAGAAGGUGCUGUCUGACUGGGCUUGGUGUACAUACUGUAACAUACAGUCUGGUUGAAGAUUUAUUAUCAUAUUAUAUUAUGACUCUGUCCUUUAUGAGAUCGCUCUGCUUGCUUGACUGAUGAACCUUGGGCUGUUCCCAAUGGGCCCCUAUUCACUAUGUAGUACACUACCCAUAGGGCUCUGGUCUAAAGUAGUGCACUAUAUAGGGCCCUGAUCUAAAGUAGUUCACUAUAUAGGGAAUAGGGUGCCAUUUGGGAUGUAUUUUGUGUUGUUUACUGUAGUGGACCCUAUAUAGCAGUGCACUACUUCAACCAGAGCUUUCUAUAAAUAGGGAACAGGGAGUCAUUGGGGAUGCGACCCGUGGUUUCACAUUAUCUUACUACUGGGUGUCCCAAUAGCUCCCUGUUCACUAUAUACUAGUGCACUAUGUAGGGAAUAGGGGACCCAACUAUGAGAUUAUUAUUACUGGUGUUCUGUUAAUAUAUUAAACGACUGAGUUGAUUUAUUUUGCAUGAGUUUGUAACAGUUUUUACAUUUUCAAAACUUUUCAAAAAUAUUAUGAAGUAUUAAAAAAAGAUGACGUGUCUAUUUUUCUGUUUUUUCUCUGCUGGUGUUUGAGUAUUAAAUGUUUAUUUAUGAAUAUUAUGAUUAUUCUAAUUUAAGACAUUUAUUGAUCUGUGGUUUGUUAUUUUAAUGCAGACCAAAUGGCACCCUAUUCCCUAUAUAGGGCACUACUUUAGAUCAGGACCCAUAGGGAUGUGGUUAAAAGUAGGGCACUACUUUAGAUCAGGACCCAUAGGGAGGUGGUUAAAAGUAGGGCACUACUUUAGAUCAGGACCCAUAGGGAUGUGGUUAAAAGUAGGGCACCACUUUAGAUCAGGACCCAUAGGGAGGUGGUUAAAAGUAGGGCACUACUUUAGAUCAGGACCCAUAGGGAUGUGGUUAAAAGUAGGGCACUACUUUAGAUCAGGACCCAUAGGGAUGUGGUUAAAAGUAGGGCACUACUUUAGAUCAGGACCCAUAGGGAUGUGGUUAAAAGUAGGGCACCACUUUAGAUCAGGACCCAUAGGGAGGUGGUUAAAAGUAGGGCACUACUUUAGAUCAGGACCCAUAGGGAUGUGGUUAAAAGUAGGGCACUACUUUAGAUCAGGACCCAUAGGGAUGUGGUUAAAAGUAGGGCACUACUUUAGAUCAGGUCCCAUAGGGAUGUGGUUAAAAGAAGGGCACGAAAGGGAAAAGGGUGCCAUUUGGAAAGCAGUGUUUUGUUUCUACUUCCUGUCACUUUGUACAUUUGGGUUUCCUUGGCGACGUUCUUUUACGACUGCGAUUGUCACAAUGACAACACUUGUUUUAUCUAUUUCAUAAAAGAUAAACAUUGGAACUAAAUAAACUAUAAACCCUCAACAUGGGUGUCUGUCA
ensembl:lncRNA